rnacentral:rRNA from 1 species
UUGUAGUACUGGGACUCUAACCAUAGGCCAUGAAUCUGGUCUUGGGACACUGUCAGGUGGGCAGUUUGACUGGGGCGGUCGCCUCCCAAAAGGUAACGGAGGCGCUCAAAGGUUCUCUCAGGACGGUCGGAAAUCGUACGUAGAGUGUAAAGGCAAAAGAGAGCUUGAUUGCAAGACAGACAGGUCGAGCAAGGAUGAAAAUCGGACUUAGUGAUCCGGUGGUUCUGCGUGGAAGGGCCAUCGCUCAACGGAUAAAAGCUACCCUGGGGAUAACAGGCUUAUCUCCCCCAAGAGUCCACAUCGACGGGGAGGUUUGGCACC